rnacentral:rRNA from 1 species
GUGUCAGCCGCCGCGGUAAUACGGAGGGUGCAAGCGUUAAUCGGAAUUACUGGGCGUAAAGCGUACGUAGGCGGCGUGUUAAGCAAGAUGUGAAAGCCCCGGGCUCAACCUGGGAAUGGCAUUUUGAACUGGCAUGCUAGAGUCCUGAAGAGGGUGGUAGAAUUUCCAGUGUAGCGGUGAAAUGCGUAGAUAUUGGAAGGAAUACCGGUGGCGAAGGCGGCCACCUGGUCAGAGACUGACGCUGAGGUACGAAAGCGUGGGGAGCAAACAGGAUUAGAUACCCUGGUAGUCCACGCCGUAAACGAUGUCAACUAGUUGUUCGUGUCUUUAAGACGUGAGUAACGCAGCUAACGCACUAAGUUGACCGCCUGGGGAGUACGGCCGCAAGGUUAAAACUUAAAUGAAUUGACGGGG